AUUGAACGCUGGCGGCAUGCUUUACACAUGCAAGUCGAACGGCAGCGCGGGCUUCGGCCUGGCGGCGAGUGGCGAACGGGUGAGUAAUGCAUCGGAACGUGCCCAGUAGUGGGGGAUAGCCCGGCGAAAGCCGGAUUAAUACCGCAUACGACCUGAGGGUGAAAGCGGGGGACCGAAAGGCCUCGCGCUAUUGGAGCGGCCGAUGUCGGAUUGGCUAGUUGGUGGGGUAAAGGCUUACCAAGGCGACGAUCCGUAGCUGGUCUGAGAGGACGACCAGCCACACUGGGACUGAGACACGGCCCAGACUCCUACGGGAGGCAGCAGUGGGGAAUUUUGGACAAUGGGGGCAACCCUGAUCCAGCCAUGCCGCGUGAGGGAAGAAGGCCUUCGGGUUGUAAACCGCUUUUGUUCGGGAAGAAAUCCUCUGGGCUAAUACCCCGGGGGGAUGACGGUACCGGAAGAAUAAGCACCGGCUAACUACGUG
rnacentral:rRNA from 1 species